CUUGCGUGUUGUUUCGAGGCGGUUGUGUGCUUCGUGUCUGGUUUGAUUUUAUCCUCCAAUUCCUCAAUGGAAGUUUAGGUAACUGUCCCCUUUGAUGAUCCACCCCUUCUUGUCGGUUAGGAUCCGAUCAUCGGAAGGUGAUUCAGGAGAGAAAGCGCAGGUCGCCUGGGAAAAAUUGUUAUGCGUGAUGUCUCGCCAGCUGUUUUGUAUCAAAACAAUUUUUCCACCUUCGAAGAAAUCUUUGUCAAGACGGUGACACUACCCCAUAGCUCAGAUUGAUCACUUGGAUCGUAUGGUUAAUUGUCUUGGUAGAGUGAGAAAUCUUUUUUCAGCGUUAACUUGAUUGCCAGUUUCUUAACCUAAUUUUGCAAAUCACCUUACGCAGGUGGGUCUCCUCCUGACGAGAGCCUUGCCGCAGCCAAUGAAACACGAUUUACGCAAGUCAACGUGACAACACUACAUUCAACCUGAUGAUUCAAACUUAAGAAGGGGAAAGCGUAUGACAGUUUUGGUUAAAUGCAGUCAAGCGUCAAGCACUAAUGGUUGAUACUGUAUGUCCGCAGGUUAUUAAAGUCAUUCUCUAACUCCUGGACUUCGGGCCAGCUGCUCCA
rnacentral:lncRNA from 1 species